rnacentral:rRNA from 1 species
CUUGCUUCUCUUGAGAGCGGCGGACGGGUGAGUAAUGCCUAGGAAUCUGCCUGGUAGUGGGGGAUAACGUUCGGAAACGGACGCUAAUACCGCAUACGUCCUACGGGAGAAAGCAGGGGACCUUCGGGCCUUGCGCUAUCAGAUGAGCCUAGGUCGGAUUAGCUAGUUGGUGGGGUAAUGGCUCACCAAGGCGACGAUCCGUAACUGGUCUGAGAGGAUGAUCAGUCACACUGGAACUGAGACACGGUCCAGACUCCUACGGGAGGCAGCAGUGGGGAAUAUUGGACAAUGGGCGAAAGCCUGAUCCAGCCAUGCCGCGUGUGUGAAGAAGGUCUUCGGAUUGUAAAGCACUUUAAGUUGGGAGGAAGGGUUGUAGAUUAAUACUCUGCAAUUUUGACGUUACCGACAGAAUAAGCACCGGCUAACUCUGUGCCAGCAGCCGCGGUAAUACAGAGGGUUGCAAGCGUUAAAUCUGAAUUUACU